UACGUAGGGCGCGAGCGUUGUCCGGAAUCAUUGGGCGUAAAGAGCUCGUAGGCGGCCUGUCGCGUCUGCUGUGAAAUCCCGGGGCUUAACCCCGGGCGUGCAGUGGAUACGGGCUGGCUGGAGGCAGGCAGGGGAGAACGGAAUUCCCGGUGUGGCGGUGAAAUGCGCAGAUAUCGGGAGGAACACCGGUGGCGAAGGCGGUUCUCUGGGCCUGUACUGACGCUGAGGAGCGAAAGCGUGGGGAGCGAACAGG
rnacentral:rRNA from 1 species